rnacentral:rRNA from 1 species
AUUGAACGCUGGCGGCAUGAUUUACACAUGCAAGUCGAACGGUAACAGGCCGCAGGGUGCUGACGAGUGGCGAACGGGUGCGUAAUGCAUCGGAACGUGCCCAGUCGUGGGGGAUAACUACUCGCAAGAGUAGCUAAUACCUCAUACGAUCUAUGGAUGAAAGCGGGGGACCGUAAGGCCUCGCGCGAUUGGAGCGGCCGAUGUCAGAUUAGGUAGUUGGUGGGGUAAAGGCUCACCAAGCCAACGAUCUGUAGCUGGUCUGAGAGGACGACCAGCCACACUGGGACUGAGACACGGCCCAGACUCCUACGGGAGGCAGCAGUGGGGAAUUUUGGACAAUGGGCGCAAGCCUGAUCCAGCAAUGCCGCGUGCAGGAAGAAGGCCUUCGGGUUGUAAACUGCUUUUGUACGGAACGAAACGGCUCUGGUUAAUACCCGGGGCUAAUGACGGUACCGUAAGAAUAAGCACCGGCUAACUACGUG